rnacentral:tRNA from 1 species
GCCUCUAUAGUUUAAUGGAUAAAACAGCGGUCUUCGGAACCGCGGAUGGGGGUUCGAUUCCCUCUGGGGGCA